CAAUCUCGUUAAGUUUGACUUCAAUAUCGCGCAUUCAGCCGAGCUACGAGAUGGAGGAAUGACAACUUCUCCUUAAAAAUUAUUGAUGUGCCACAAAGGUUCUCUCCAGCGCCUUCCUCUGGAGGUCCGAGAACACGGCCCGCCGCAGCAUGCCCCUCCUGGGCUUCCCCCGGGGGGCCAGGGGCCAAGAAAACGUUCCUGGGACUGGAACCACAGAAGAAGAGGAGGAGGAGGCUGCAGGGAAGAAAAACAAGAUCCCUUAUCAAAGGAAUAUGCACUCACCUAUGAACCGACCAGAUGUCGGCGGCCUACCUGAGAAGUACGAGGCUCUGAUGAGAGGAUGAAGGUUUCCGUCAAAGAACGGCAGCGACUUCGUCUGAAGACUCUGAACUGAGGAAGAGGAGGAAGAGGAGUCCCACUCAGUCACAUGGAAAGGAUUAAAAUCAUCCAAUCAGCA